UCCUCUUUUAUAUAGAUAAAAUAACUGGUGAUAACAGGUUGUACAUCAUCCCUGCUGUUUUGAUCUCUGUGGUUUUUAUACUGGCAGUAAUAUGCAUGAUCAUAUUCAUACGAAGAAAGAAACAUGAAAACAGUCACCGCUCACAAGGCAGACUCAUCUGCAACUGAAGGACUGCAGGAUGACGUGCAAUAUUCUGAGAUUAAUCACACUGCAAAAAAACGUAAUCAGGGGAACGUACAUGAAUCUGCCGCUCAGGAAACAAGCCUCUUAACGACGAUUUAUGACCGGAUUCGUCCUCAUCACACAGAGACUUCAGAGUGAUUCAGCCUGAGCAGAAACAGGAAAGUGGUCACUGUGGUGUUUAGAUGAAGAAGAACUAAUUGAAGUUUAUUGAAGUUUUGUAAUCUAUGAAGACGUCCACAUAUUUCACAUUAUUUUAAUAUGCUACUGGUCAAAUGUUUUAGAACAGUAAAGAAGAUUGGACAGCACUCGUAUAAUAUUCAAUGUAUUUAUUUAACUCACAGAUAAAACACGAACGUUUCGGCCCUUAGGCCUUAAUCACCCAUCAUUUUAAAUGUCCAGUAGCGGCACUGUAUGUCCCAGACAAGCUACUUUUUAUAUUUUUUAAUCUUAUCAAUUAUUUUAUCUCUGCACUAUUUCACCUGUCAGACCUUUAAAUCUUCUCUUCACUGUUAAAACUGAGACUUAAUACAAUGUUAAGCUGAGCUAAAGGCUAAAGCUGCUUCCAUGUGGGUCAGCCAGACGUCUUCCUGUUCUGUACUGUACUCAGUACUCACCGCUCUCUGGCUUCAUCUGUAAUUUUUGUAAUAUUUGUAAUAGUUAUCUGUGUUUCUGUGUCUUUUUGUAGUAUUAUGAAGAAUGUUUCCAGUUUCCAGUGCAUUUCCAAAGCUCAGUUCAUUCCCAUUGUUUCCCAGCAGCUGUGAGCUGUUAACACAUCUGGCAGAUCAUACUAGAAUAAUAUUUGAUUGUAUUCUGAAGAAUUCUGAAUUUCUGAUAGCUCUAAUGAAGGAAUACUGAGGAGUAGAAGGAAGAUGUUUUGCUAUGUUUUUUUUUUUUUAUUCUGUGUAGAAACCGUCCUCUAAACAGUCUAAAUUCUUUUUUUUACUUGACAUGUAACCUGUAAAUCCUGAAGAUUUCCCCUUAAUAUUAAUCUCUUCCAAAAAAGUGUUGUGCUGGAUUCUGAAGAGCUUGAACAUGUGUCAUCAGGGUGUUUAGAUGAAGAUAAACCCAAAUUGUAGCAUUUUGGUAUGAAGUGAAGAAUGCUGAAGUCUGAAUUGAAGUUUUAUAUCCAGGGUAAAAUGCCUAUAUAUUGCACUAAAAAGAGAUAGCAUUUAAAAAGCUAACACUUAUACAUGAGAAGAUCUCUUUUCCAAAUCGAAGUUUAAUUGUUGGAUAUGAACAGUUCAUCUUAUUUAAAAAGCGUAAAAAAAAAUCUGAGUAAAUGUUAUGUAACAAUCAUUUUACACUUUACAAAGAUUUAUAAAAGACAUUUUAUUCAGUUUAUUUGUUUAAACUGAACGCUGGAAGCAGCCAUUAGUUAACUAUGGGUUAAUUGAAGUAAAGAAGGGAUGCACAUGAUCAGCAACAACAUGCACAGAGACACAUGAUUGGAAGUAACAAGCCUAAAGUGUAACUCUAGAGAGUGCAAAUAACGAAGAAAAAGAAGGAAAAGCACUCGUUCCAUUAUAAUUAUAAAUUAGCACUCAAAACUUCAUUGCACCUUACUGCUAUUGCUGUACUGCAAUAUUACUGUAUUGCUAAUUAUACUGCUGGCAGUAGGUAUAUCAUGCAGGGUUCAUGUUAGGACUGUUUCUAUGCAAAUUAUGGCAAAUAUGAAGCUAACUUUGUGCAAAUAAUGUAUUAUAAUAUUCACUAAUUUGCUUUGAAGUAGAUUUCAGUCAGAACAUGUCCUAAAACAUUUCACUAUUUUUCUAGUGCUUUUGUGUUUAGCGUGUGUUCAAAAUCUCACCUGAAUGCAAACUACAUCACAACCCCAACAGCACCUGCUCUAUUAUCUGUGCACAGGUGGGAGGGGGAGGGGAGAAUAAUGACAGCAGCUGGUUCCUCUUUAGCGAGGGGAAGUGGCUGUACUGGGCAGGUGGAUCAAGGUUAACUAUUAUUUUCAGUUAUGUCAGUUAGCCUAUGUAAAUAUAAUAUAAUAUAACACCUGCUGUAACUCACUGCAAACACCUAUAACUGCAGCGUCUCUCCAACAGGUUUCACUGUGCUAAUAUUGCAACAUUUUAAUUUUUCUUAAAAAUUAGUAUUUAAAACAUUAUUCUGCUGCAUAUUAAGAGAAUGUGGUUACACACAGGAAUGUCAUGUACUAUUAUUGGUUGUAGUCAAGCUGUUAAUGGAGAUGUGAGGUAACUGUGCUAUUGGUCAAAUUAAGUUAUCUGUUUUUUUUUUUUUUUACCAGGAUUUCAGAUUUUACUGUAAAAAGGCCAAUGUUAUAUAAUUGCAAUUAGCCAGUCAGCUAACACUGCAGUAAUUAGAUAAACUGGACUGUGUAGUGUAGUUCAUAGACUUUAGAUUGGUUUACAAUAAUUACAUCAUGUUUAUACACCCCCUUUAUUGUGUAUUAGUGAAGGCUUUAGUGAGAGACAGUAUGUAGAGUGCACACUGUACAGUACUGUAUAGAGUGUUUAGUGUAUUCCUGGUAAGUGCCUUUGUGAAUGAUAUUGUUUUGUGUCUGUUUUUCACACAUUUGUUACUAUUUCAUCAACGUGUUUGUUUCAGCACUUAUACCUGACUUCACAUCCUGUAUCUCCACAAUAGAUAAUCUGCAUUUAUUUAUUUAGUACAAAUUAAUUUUAAUUAAUUAAAUUUUCCCCAUAACUUGAGCUUUUUAAUUGACAUUUUGGAAUGUGUUAGUUUUAACUAUGGCAUUUCAAUUAUUUUCCCAUUAAAAAAUAUGCUUUAAAAUGAUAAAUCUGCUCACUGCAUAAACUAUAUACUGUUAUAAGCUGCACACGUGGUUUAAACAUACUCUGUAUGUAUCAAAUUCCUGAAUUUCAAAUAAAUAACAUUUUGUAAAAAAUAA